AUUGAACGCUGGCGGCAUGCCUUACACAUGCAAGUCGAACGGCAGCAUGAUCUAGCUUGCUAGAUUGAUGGCGAGUGGCGAACAGGUGAGUAAUACAUCGGAACGUGCCCUGUAGUGGGGGAUAACUAGUCGAAAGAUUAGCUAAUACCGCAUACGACCUGAGGGUGAAAGUGGGGGACCGCAAGGCCUCAUGCUAUAGGAGCGGCCGAUGUCUGAUUAGCUAGUUGGUGGGGUAAAGGCCCACCAAGGCGACGAUCAGUAGCUGGUCUGAGAGGACGAUCAGCCACACUGGGACUGAGACACGGCCCAGACUCCUACGGGAGGCAGCAGUGGGGAAUUUUGGACAAUGGGCGAAAGCCUGAUCCAGCAAUGCCGCGUGUGUGAAGAAGGCCUUCGGGUUGUGAAGCACUUUUGUCCGGAAAGAAAUGGCUCUGGUUAAUACCUGGGGUCGAUGACGGUACCGGAAGAAUAAGGACCGGCUAACUACGUGCCAGCAGCCGCCGUAACAC
rnacentral:rRNA from 1 species